UAGGGAUCGAGGAGAGAGAGAGAGAGGAAGAGAGAGAGAGCAGAGGCCGGAUUUGCGACAAAUAUGGGCAAGCGGCGGUAGCGCGGCGGAUAGAGUACAAUCCUAGGCAAGAGAGGGGAGAGAGAGGGGGGACGGGUGGGCUCUUUUCUGAUGGAGAGAGAGAGAGAAGAGAAGGUGAAUAAAAAAAAGAGAAAGAGAGGAGGUAUUUGGGACCCACCUCCGAAAUCACGGAGGAGCUGUAGAGAAGGUUUUCG
rnacentral:lncRNA from 1 species